rnacentral:tRNA from 1 species
CGGGAUGUAGCGCAGUCUGGCAGCGCGUCUGCAUGGGGAGCAGGAGGUCACAGGUUCAAAUCCUGUCAUUCCGA